AGCAGUAGGGAAUCUUCCACAAUGGGCGCAAGCCUGAUGGAGCAACACCGCGUGAGUGAAGAAGGGUUUCGGCUCGUAAAACUCUGUUGUUAAAGAAGAACACGUAUGAGAGUAACUGUUCAUACGUUGACGGUAUUUAACCAGAAAGUCACGGCUAACUACGUGCCAGCAGCCGCGGUAAUACGUAGGUGGCAAGCGUUAUCCGGAUUUAUUGGGCGUAAAGAGAGUGCAGGCGGUUUUCUAAGUCUGAUGUGAAAGCCUUCGGCUUAACCGGAGAAGUGCAUCGGAAACUGGAUAACUUGAGUGCAGAAGAGGGUAGUGGAACUCCAUGUGUAGCGGUGGAAUGCGUAGAUAUAUGGAAGAACACCAGUGGCGAAGGCGGCUACCUGGUCUGCAACUGACGCUGAGACUCGAAAGCAUGGGUAGCGAACAGGAUUAGAUACCCUGGUAG
rnacentral:rRNA from 1 species